UACGGAGGGUGCGAGCGUUGUCCGGAAUCACUGGGCGUAAAGGGCGCGUAGGCGGCUUCUUAAGCGUGUGGUGAAAGCUCAGGGCUCAACUCUGAGUCGGCCAUGCGAACUGGGAGGCUUGAGCACUGUAGAGGCAGGUGGAAUUCCGGGUGUAGCGGUGGAAUGCGUAGAGAUCAGGAGGAACACCCAUGGCGAAGGCAGCUCUCUGGUCGACCUCUGACGCUGAGACGCGAAAGCGUGGGGAGCGAACGGG
rnacentral:rRNA from 1 species